AACAGGCAAGUUGGUGAGCUUUGGUGAAGCAAACAACCUUACAUGAUGUGAGUGGUCCUUGUGCCCAGUUGAAGCCUUCUGUGGCCCUGCAGACUCCUGACUGAACUAACACAGUUGGGGAGAAUAAGCCGUAAAAAGGGGAGCUUUUCUGUCCUUUCACUUUGCACUGAUGCCCCAUCCAUCCUCCCUUUCUGCUUGCCAUGGUAAAUGGUGUCCGACGUAACACAGAUGCACUGUGCACUGGAGAGGCAGAGCAUCCUGCCUUCCACAGCCGUGCACACCAGUCCCUGUGCACAAGUGGCCACCCACCCAGCGAAUCGACGUGGUGUGCUUAUCAAAAUCUGUGUGUCUGUGGGCCAGAGCCAAAUCCAGGAUAUUGACGGAUGUCCUUACUGGUAAGGCUGUCUGGGACUCUCAGUGAAAAGACCGGCCAUGUGUGCCUCCAGAUGGUACUAGAUCCAGGUGCUAGAACAAGAUGAGCAAGUGAAUCUCUCAUACUUCAGAUCCUUCAAGGAUCUUGAAAAGAGCGCUGGAAUCAAAGGCGAACGCCACCACUGCCCGGCCUUGUUUUGUUUUUAAAGACAGUUUUCGGCACACAGAGAGGCUGUGAGUUAGGACGGGGGUUUCUUGCCGUUGCCACCAUUCUCAUUGACACGUUAUGCUGCACACAGCAGAGCCCCAUCCUGAAUGCCCAGCGGUGCCCACAGCCAGGAGGAGCAUUCGAUGUGUGAUGACUCAUCUCGUGCAUCAGACGCUCUCUAAAGUUCCCACAGAUUAUACCAUGGCUUAGUGAGUGCGAUUCUAAGACAGUUCCAAAAGACUUUUCAAUCCGUGGGAGUUUCAAAGUGGAUUCUCAGACAAACAUGGGGAGGACUGAGGCAGGCUUGGACACGCACAGAAUCAGACAACGAUGGUCCGGAGUUCAAAUCCCUGCAACCACAUGGUGGCUCACAACCAACUGUAAUGAGAUCUGGCGCCCUCUUCUGGAGUGUCUGAAGACAGAUACAGUGUACUUACAUAUAGUAAAUAAAUAAAUCUUAAAAAAAAAAAAAA
rnacentral:lncRNA from 1 species